rnacentral:rRNA from 1 species
UUAGUGGCGGACGGGUGAGUAACGCGUGGAUAACCUGCCGUAUACCGGGGGAUAACACUUAGAAAUAGGUGCUAAUACCGCAUAAGCGCACGGCUCCGCAUGGGGCAGUGUGAAAAACUCCGGUGGUAUACGAUGGAUCCGCGUCUGAUUAGCUAGUUGGCGGGGUAACGGCCCACCAAGGCAGCGAUCAGUAGCCGGCCUGAGAGGGUGGACGGCCACAUUGGGACUGAGACACGGCCCAAACUCCUACGGAAGGCAGCAG